UACGUAGGCAGCGAGCGUUGUUCGGAAUUACUGGGCGUAAAGAGUGUGUAGGCGGUGCUCUAAGUUCGGUGUGAAAUCUCCCGGCUUAACUGGGAGGGUGCGCCGGAAACUGGAGUGCUCGAGCGUGGGAGAGGAAAGCGGAAUUCCUGGUGUAGCGGUGAAAUGCGUAGAUAUCAGGAGGAACACCCGUGGCUAAGGCGGCUCUCUAGUACGGUACUGACGCUGAGACGCGAAAGCGUGGGGAGCGAACAGG
rnacentral:rRNA from 1 species